rnacentral:rRNA from 1 species
GACGAACGCUGGCGGCGUGCUUAGCACAUGCAAGUCGAACGGAAAGGCCCUGCUUUUGUGGGGUGCUCGAGUGGCGAACGGGUGAGUAACACGUGAGUAACCUGCCCUUGACUUUGGGAUAACUUCAGGAAACUGGGGCUAAUACCGGAUAGGAGCUCCUGCUGCAUGGUGGGGGUUGGAAAGUUUCGGCGGUUGGGGAUGGACUCGCGGCUUAUCAGCUUGUUGGUGGGGUAGUGGCUUACCAAGGCUUUGACGGGUAGCCGGCCUGAGAGGGUGACCGGCCACAUUGGGACUGAGAUACGGCCCAGACUCCUACGGGAGGCAGCAGUGGGGAAUAUUGCGCAAUGGGCGGAAGCCAGAUGCAGCAACGCCGCGUGCGGGAUGACGGCCUUCGGGUUGUAAACCGCUUUCGCCUGUGACGAAGCGUGAGUGACGGUAAUGGGUAAAGAAGCACCGGCUAACUACGUG